rnacentral:ncRNA from 1 species
UUUAAUAAAAGAAGUUUAGGUGCCUUUAUAUAAAAGGUGAAAAGGGAAUGUGGUAAAAUCCACAGCAGCCCCCGCUACUGUAAUUGAGGACAAAUCUUUCAUAAACAGAGUUCUUGGCUUCAGAAGGAGUUUUUGCUCCUACUAAAGCUUAUUAACAGAAUUCUUAGGAGUUUUACUCCUUAGAAGGCGUUAUCCUUUAGGAGAACUCGUUAUCCAGGGAUGUAGCCGAUCUUUACUCCAACUUUGAAGAAAAGCAGAGAGUCCAAAUCUUUGAUUUGGUGCGAAUCGCUUUCACAGAGUGCGAUUGGAGUAUUAGAGCGGGUAUUCAUCGGAUAAACCACUCUUUAAAAAAAGGGGAAGGGAAAGAGGAGGAUGAAUCAUAAGCCAGGAGACCUGCCUAAAUUUUUACUGGGUA